rnacentral:rRNA from 1 species
AAUGACUCUCGGCAACGGAUAUCUCGGCUCUUGCAUCGAUGAAGAAUGUAGCCAAAUGCGAUAGUUGGUGUGAAUUUCAGAAUCCUGUGAACCAUCGAGUCUUUGAACGCAAGUUGCACCCAAAGCCAUUAGGCCGAGGGCACGUCUGGCUGGGUGUCACACAACG